GUAAAACUUAAAUAACAAUACCAUGAUACCUAUAUAUUCAAUAUCUAGUUUAAGCAUAGGCUAUUAUUACCAUAACUUCGAAGCCAACUCUGUGUACCUCCUUGGUUCCUUCCCUCUCCCUCCUUCCCAGAGGUAACCACUAUCCUGAAAUAUAUAUUUCAUUCCUAUAUUUUUCUUUAAGAUUUUGAAGAAAAGCAAUCUCUAAUAAUAUGCUGCUUAGUUUUCUGUAUUUUUGAACUUUAUGUAAAUUGAAUUAUACUGAAUCUAGUCUUCUGUAGCUUGGUUUUGUUGCUCACAUUACGCUUUUGAAAUUCAGCCAAGUUCAUUAAUUUUCACUGUUGCAUAGUAUUCCUUUUAAGAAACAAGCCACACACAGAAAGAUGAAUGCUGCAUGCUAUGAUUAAUACUGAGUGUCAACUUGAUUGGCUUGAAGGAUGCAAAGUAUUACUGUGAGGGUGUUGCCAAAGGAGAUUAACAUUUGAGUCAGUGGGCUGGGAAAGGCAGACCUACCUUAAUCUGGGUGGGCACAAUCUAAUCAGCUGCCAGUGCAGCUAGAUAUAAAGCAGGCAGAAAAAUGUGAAAAGACUAGGCUGACCUAGCCUCCCAGCCUACAUCCUUCUCCCAUGCUGGAUGCUUCCUGCCCUUGAACAUCAGACUCCAAGUUCUUCAGUUUUGGAACUUGGACAGGCUCUCCUUGCUCCUCAACUUGCAGAUGGCCUAUUUUGGGACCCUGUGGUCAUAUGAGUUAAUACUUAAUAAACUUUAUAUAUAUAUAUAUGCUAUUAGUUCUGUCCCUCUAGAGAACCCUGACUAAUACACUGCAUGUUCUCAUUUUUUUGUGGAAGCUACAAGAAAUUGAAUGCAAAGAAGUAGAGAGCAGAAUGGUGGUUACCAGAGGCUGGGGAGAGGGGUAAUAGAGAGAUGUUGGUCAAAGGGUACAAUGUUUCAGUUAGACAGAAGGAAUAAAUGAUAAGUAUUUGAGGCCGGGCAUGGUGGCUCAUGCCUAUAAUCCCAGCACUUUGGGAGACCGAGGCAGGCAGAUCACCUGAGUCAGGGGUUCAAGACCAGCCUGGCCAACAUGGCGAAACCCCAUCUCUACUAAAGAUUCAAAAAUUAGCAGGGUGUGGUGGUGCGCGCCUGUAACCCUAGCUACUCUGGAGGCUGAGGCAGGAGCACUUCAACCUGGGAGGUGGAGGUAUCAGUGAGAUGAGAUAGAGUCUGUCUCAAAAAAAAAAAAAAAAAAAAAACAAGAUAAGUAUUUGAGAUGGUAGAUAUGCUAAUUAGCUUGGUUCACUCACCCCAUAUUAUAUACAUAUACCAUAGCAUCACUUUGCAACCCAUAAAUAUAUACAAUUAUAAUUUGUCAAUAUCAAAAUAAAUAAAUAAAUAGAAUUUUUAAAAAGAACAAGCCAUGAUCUAUGUAUUCAUUCUUUUAUCAAUGGAUUUGGAUAAAUUUCAUUUUUUAAGAAAAUUAUUACAAAUAUUGCUGCUGUAAACAUUUUGUCUUCUGAUACUUAUGUACAAGAGGUUUUAGGAAAUCUGCCUAGGAAAUCUGAUCCUAAUAGUAUUUAUUUGUCCUUUUUUUUAAAAAAAUGGGUCUUCCCAGAGAUUUGCCAAUUUUAUCGGUCCUUCAAAAAAACCCAACUAGGUCACCCUAGAAUUCACAGGAAAGAAACCCAGAAUGUUUUAGUUUUGUCGGGUCUCUCCGUGGUGUAUUUGUUCUCUAUGAUUUUCUGCUCUUAUAUUUUUUCUCUCUUUGGGUUUAUUUUGUUCUUUUUCUAACUUCUAAAGCUGGAUUCCUAGCUAAUUAAUUUUUAGCCUUUAUUCUUUUAUAGUAUAUGCAUUUAAGAUACCAUAAAUGUCCCUCCAAAUACUCCCAUAGCUGUAUCUCACUAAUUCUGACAAGUAGUAGUGUUGUUCACUUCUAAAUACUUGCUAGUUCUUAUUAUGAUUUCUUUGUUUUAUGAGCUAUUUAGAUGUGUUCUUAUAUUUCUAAAUGUAUGAUUAUUUCUGUUUUAAAAAUGGAUUUCUAAAUUAAUUGCAUUAUAGGCAGAGAUCGUGGUUAUCAAUUUUUUUGCUGAGACUCUUUCAUGGUUAGUACCAUGGUUAGUCAUUUUUCAUAAAUUAUUCCAUGGAAAUUGAAAAGAAUGAGCCAGGCGUGGCGGCAUGCACCAGAAGUUGCAGCUACUCAGGAGGCUGAAGUGAGAGGACUGCUUGAGUCCAGUAGUUCAAGGCCAGCUGGUCAACAUAGUGAGACUCCAUCUAUGAAAAAAUAUAUAUAAAAAGAAAAAGAAAACAAUGCAUAUUUUUCUGUUCUUGGGUUUAAUGCACUAUAAAUAGAGAUUACAUCCAGCUUGUUCAUGGUUAUUUAAAUCAUAUUUCAAAUCUCACUGACUUCUUUGUUCACUUGACCAUAAACUUCCCUUGUUUAAUUUAUUGGCUUGCUAUAGGAACUUGUGUUUAUUCCAUGUGUAUACUGCACCUCCCCUGAAGCCUCUCUGAAUCUCAUUUGGUGACUCUGAAACCUACUGAUCUACUUUACCUUUGCUAGGUUAUAUGUAAUAAUAAACAACCCCCAAAUCUCAAUGGCUUACAACCAUGAAGAUUUAUUACUUGUGCAUAUUACAUGUUAUUCUCUGGCCAACUCUGCUCUGUUUUCUUCAUUCUGGAACCUACGCUAGAGGAGUAGCCCAUACCUGAGGCAGGUCUGCUUUGUGUCAGAAGGCAAAGAAUAAUGAAGAACUACUGAAAGGCUCUGAAAGCUUCUUCCUGUAUGAGGCAUACAACACUUCUAUGCACAUGGCCAACCCUGAUGUCAGGGAGGUGUGGCGUUAUUAUCAUAUCACAGGCGGGGAGAAGAGAAUGAUAGAGAACAAAAAUGCAGUCUACAACACCUGCCUUUUUGUUCUCUGAAUAGUAUGUACACAGAAUUUCUAAACUAGAUCUUUCAGUAACUGGUUCAGAGCUGCCCCUGCCUGGCCCCAAUUACAUGGUACAUCUAGCUCAAAAUAGCUGGGCUGGAUGAUUUGUGUACGCUUUGGUUAUAUGUGCUUGUGACUUUUACAUGUAGUUUUGUCUCACCUGAACCAUUUGAUUGAAGAUGAUUAAAUAUCUGCUAAAAUAGUGAAAAAUGCACAUAAACAUACAUACCCAGUUUUGUUUGCCAGUUAAGGAUUUUUUUUUAAACUCCCUGAAUUUCAUGCAGGAGCCAUAGGUCCCUACCAUUUUUGCAAUUGUCUAUUCACACAUCUGUAUUGUCUACUAGACUACACUGUGAGGUGGGGUUGCAUUUUUGUUCACUCCUGUGUCCCAGCUAUUAGCACAGUUGCACAUAAUAAGGCUGUGAUUUAAAAAAAAAUGUGUUAAGUGAAUAAUAAAACUGAACUACAAUUAGAAUACAAGUCCAGCGUUCCAAAUUGAAUGAACAAGAUCAAAUUAGUAAAGAUAAGCUAUACUCACUAGAAGUCCAUAAUAAAAAAGAGAUACUGUUUAUACUAAAUUAACAGUCUUUGGAGAUUGUCUUGCUUCUUUUUGUAAAGUGAGAUGAAGAACAAAAAUCCUGGACAGAUUGAAGCUAGCUUUUAUGUCAGUGUAACUGAACUCUUCCUCCACUUCCUCUUUUAAGGGGUUGUAGCGGGAACAUGCCAGGCUGAUAAUGAUUGUUUUUAUCUUAUGUCAUACCCUUCUGAGGGGAAACCAAUAAAUCCAGGCUGACGGUCUGGAUGAAUGAAUAGGUGCUAGCAGCAAAAGAUGGGGCCAUGUCAUGAGUUUUUUAUUUGAGAAUCAGCCUCUCCUCCAUACACAGAACCACCAGCAGAUGUCAUAUCUGAUCUCUGUUGUUGGGCCUGCUGCCUGAUUUUCAGUUAAUUGUUUCCAUAACACAAUGUUUUUCCAUAUUGUGUCAUGCUUCCUAUUACACAGGACACAUUUUCUUUACCAUCUCCCAUAAGCACACAGAUAUGAUGUGCUUAUUUAUUUAUCCAUGCAAUAAAGAUUUAUCAUGUGUCUAUUCUGUGCCUGGUAUUGAGACUACAAUGGUGAGCGAAACAGAUACAGCCCCUGCCCUCUUGAAGAAUUCUACUGGGGAGGACAGUUAAUUCAAUGAGUAACUUCCAAAAAUUAUAAUUUGGGUUUUGUUAGUUGAAGCAUGGUACUAGGAGGACAAGUUAAAAAAAUAGCCAAAUAUAGCCUAAGAAAUCACGGAAGUCCUCCAGGGAAGCAAGGUUUCUAGGGAAUUCUGAAAGACGACUGAGUUAAGCAGACCAAGAACCAGGAGGAGAGCUGAAUCUUUGUUAUUUUAAUUAAAAGAGUGAAGGGAGGGUGUCCCGAGUGUCCCAUUAAACACAUAGGCUCUGGGCUAGCCUUCCUGGGGGCCUAUUCCUCACUCUGCCAUUUAUUAGCUCUGCUUCAGUUUUCUCGUUUGUACAAUGGGGAGUGUGACAGUACUUGCCUCACAGGAUUACUGUCAGGAUUAAAUGAGUUAAUCCAUGCAGGUGUCUGACAUAGAAUAAGCAAUCGAUUCCUGUUGGCCCUUAUUUUUCUUUGUUGGAAUAUUCAGCAAAACCCAUUGCAUCUCAAUUCUUUCUCAGAUUAAAAAAUUCUCUACCUGUGAAUCAGAACUAUGCUAACACAAUGAACUCCAGUCUGCCAAAUUUCAUUUCUGAAGCAAAGCCACCUUUGGGUUUUGAUUGUUGUGCCUGUGUCUUGUGUAGAUGGUACAGGGAACUUGGCCAAGUUUCACACGACAACAUGAAGUGUUCAGCUCCAAGCCACAUGAUAUAGUUAUAAGCCAUAUAAUAAAAUAUAUUAUCUUAAUCCCACAGGAGAUCCCAUAGAUAUCAUGGCCACGUGGAUAGAGACAAAGUCCUUGAACCUUAAAAUAGCAAAUCACAGACUCAUUUCAAAGUUAUUGGUACACAGAAGGUCUCUGUAGUGUCUUUUUGAAUUCAGUCAGCUUUAAUUACAAGCUUUUAGUCUCACUUGACAAUAUAAUCCCUUCAUUCUCAGGGCUGCACAGCAUAUUCAAUCACUUAGCUUUCCUGACUGUUUAAUGAAGAUCUUCAUGGUUGCAUUUGGGGGAGUGCUUUCAGUCUCUUUCCAAUAACAGGAACACUGAAAAAGACGUACAGGACAUAAUUAUAUGGUCUCAUGCUGUUGUUGAGAUUAGAAGCAAAUAAAUAAAUAAAUAAAUAAAAUAAAAUAAAAUAAAAGGCCGGUCGUGGUGGCUGACGCCUG
rnacentral:lncRNA from 1 species